rnacentral:lncRNA from 1 species
CCACCCUAACCCAACUCGCGCCACCGCCACCACCACCAUCCCUCCGAGCCCCCAGGCAAAGACACCGAGUUUUGUUUGCAAUCUAAUUUGUCCGGAUAAUCGCCUCGAUUUUGCACUUCGCUUUGCCCGCGUGUAUCCGGCUUUGGGCCCCUUCUUCGCCGGUUAGCAGAGCACUUUCUGGGAAAUUCCCCUUCCGGAAAGGGAGUCAGCGCGCGCCCGGGGUGAGCGUUCACAAAGCCCCGAAGGAGCCUCCCCACCCCCCCCCCCCCCGAACCCCGGCUCCCGGAGCUCACCGCCAGCCCCCACGCGGCGGGGAGCGGGAGGGAGGCAAGGAAGGACUCCGGCCGGACACCGGCUCCGGGAUCGGGGCCCCCGGCCACUCCCCGCGCCGAGCGCAGCCCGCCGGGAGCCAAUGAAGCGUGUGGGAGCGGGCCUCUGCCGUACCUCCAGGCUCCGGGCGAGAGCUGGGGUUUGCACGGCGCGCCGCAGGCCCCGCGGGGGCAGGCAGAAGCCGGGGGCCCCGCCACCUCCCGCCUUUUCCAGGUCCGCCGCCCGCGUCUCCUCCCCAAGUCCCCGCGGCUUCCCCUAAAGUUCGGCCCACGUGGUCUUCGCUCGCGGCGGCGGCGGCGGCGGCGGCGGCGGCCAGGCCGGGCGAAAGCGGCUGCACCUGCUUUAGGCGAAUUAUGGUAGCGCUAGAAGUUGGUCUCCCCUCCCUCCGCCGCUCGCUCGCUCCCUCCUCCCAGGCUCUCCGCGCGCUCCCUCCUUCCCCUCCAGCCCGCGUCCCCCGCCCCCUCCCGCCCCGCCCGCGCGCCGCCCGCUCGCAGCCACUCGCAGCCCGGGCUCAGUCGCAGCCCCUCGGAGUCCGGAGCCGGCCGCCCCUGCGGACCGGACAGCGCGGCCGGCUGCCGGGACGGAGCCCCCAGCCCGCGAGGAGGGCGCGGCGCGGGCGGCGGCGGCGCGGCGGGGAGGAGCCCGGGCCGGAACCAGGGCUGGGCCGGGGGCGGGGACGCCGGGGUCCCGGAGCCCGGGCGCCGGAGCGAGCGAGCGAGCGUCGCGGGAGGACCGGGAAGGAGGAGCGCCGCCGCGGCGAGCCGAGCCCCCACAAAGUGCGAUGCCCCGGCGGGGCUAGGGCGCGCGGCGGCCGGCGCGGCGCGGCGCGGAGGGAGGACGCCCGGGAGCUGCGCGGCGCCGGGCGGCGCGGAGGGGCAGCCCCAGCGGGCGGCGGCGGGCCCGGGCUGCGACCCGAGCGAGCCCCAUGCCCCGCGCGGGCUGACGGGCCGGAGCCCGCACGGAGCGGCCGGGCCGGACAGGAAUUAUAG